GGAAGACAAAUGCUUCUCAUCUCAUGAGGCUGGCAUAACCCUUGUCAAAACCUAUCAACGGUUUUUGUAAGAAAAUUAAAGACCAAUAUCCCUUAUGAACAUAGCACAUAAAUUUUAAAGAAAAUAUUAGCAAAUCAAACCCAGCAAUAUAUAGAAAGAAUAAUACAUCAUAACGAAAUUUUUUUUUAGGAAUGCAAAGUUUGCAUUAGAAAAUCCACUGAAGUCACUGUAUUAGUAGAACAAAGGAGAAAAAUAAUGAUUCUCUCUAGAAAUGCAAAAAAAUUAUUUGACAAAAUUCAAUACAAAUUCAUUAUAAAAACUCAGAAAACCAGAAAAAAGGGAACUUCUUCAGCUUGCAAGAAAGGUGCUAACUUUUCAAUAGAAAAAGAUAGAUGCCUGAAGAUGAUGAAAUGACACCUGAUGGACUUAUAUAGCAUUUUAAAUAUAACAGAAUUUGAAAGUAAGGGUAUAGAAAAAGAUAUAUCAUGGAAAUAUUAUACCAAACAAAGUAGACUUUAAAGCAGGAACCAUUGCUAGAAAUUAGAAAAACAAAUCAGUCCUAAAUGUAUGAGUACCUAAUAACAGCUUUAAAAUACAUAUAGCAAAAAUUGACAAAACUAAAAGGAGAAACAGAUGAAUUCAUAAUCAUAAUGGUAGACUUUAAUAAACUUCUCUCAAUAACUGACAGAAUAAACAGACAACAGAAGCAGGAAGGAUAUGGAAGACUAUAAUGAACAAACUAGACACAGCUGCCAUACAUAAAAUACUGCGUUCAACAAUUGUAAAAUACACAUUUUUUUAUGUGCACCCCAAAUACUUACCAAAUUAGAUCAAGCUUUGUCCUAAUGAAAUUCCCAACAUACUUCAAAAAUCUAAAUUCAUUUUAACUAUAGUACCUAAUUGUAGCGGAAUUAAGCUAGACAUCAACAACAAAAAGUAAAAAUAAAAAUACCCAUCAGCUUAGAAAUCAAACAAUAUACUUAUAAGUGAUCCAUAGGGUCAAAUAAAAAAUCAGAAAAAAAAAUAUUGAACUAAAUAAUGAUAUGGUAUAUCAAAAACUGUGAAUCUAGGAGACUGAUAAUGCAUGCCUGUAGUCCCAGCUACUCAGGAGGCUAAAGCAGGAGGAUCAUUUGAACCCAGGAGAUCAAGUCCAGCUUGGGCAACAGCACAUGAGAACUCAUCACAAAAUAAACAAACAAAAAUUGUGGAACACAGCUAAAGCAGUGAUUAUAUAAAAAUAACCUUAAAUGCUUAUAUUUUUAAAAGAGAGGCUGAAAAUUGAUAAUCUAAACUACCCCAAGAAGCAACUAAUAAGAGUAAUAAUAAUAAUAAUGAAAAGAAAGGCAAAACAGAAAGAAAGAAACAAUAAAGAGCAGAAUCAAUGAAAUAGAAAACAAAUAUACUAAAACAACAUAGCUCCAAAUGAGACCUUCACAAAGAUGAAUAAAAUUGACAGACCUCUAGAGCAAGACUAAUUAAGAAAAAAAGUGAUGAAACACAAAUAACCAACACUGAGAAAGAAGAAGAGAACCUCACUACAUACCCAAAACACAUUAAGCACAUAACUUGAUAAUAUUAUGGACAAUUUUAUGCCAGUAAUUUUAGAUGAAAUGGUCAAAUUCUUUAAAAAAAAAUUUAACAAACCUAACAUAAGAAGAAAUAAGAAAUCUGAAUAUUCUUAUACCUAUUAAAGAAAUGAAAUGUUAGGCCAGGCAUGAUGGCUCAUGCCUGUAAUUCCAGCACACUGGGAGGCCGAGGCAGGUGGAUCACCUGAGGUCAGGAGUUCAAGACCAUCCUGGCCAACAUGGCAAAACCCUGUCUCUACAAAAUAUACAAAAUUUAGCUGCGCGUGUUGGCGAGCAUCUGUAAUCCCAGCUACUCGAGAGGCUGAGACAGGAGAACCACUUGAACCCGGAAGGCAGAGGCUGCAGUGAGCCAAGAGCGCACCAUUGCACUCUAGCCUGGGCUGCAGGAGUGAAACUCCACCUCAAAAAAAAAAAAAAAAAGAGAUGUUACCAAAACCUUUUCCACAAGAAAACUGCAAGCAGGCCCAGAUAACUUCUAAACGUUAAAGAAAAAAAUAUAUAUAUCCUACACAUAUACUGCCAUAAAACAGAAAAAGAGGUGUACUUAAUUCAUUUACAGUGACCAGCAUACUAUAAAUACAAAAACCUGACAAAAUCUAUUACAAUAAACAAAAAUUAUACAUCAUUUUCAUCAACAUACAAUGAUGUAAAAUGAUGCAAAAAUCUUUUUUAAAAAUUAGCAAUUACAAUUUUGCGGCAUAUUAAAAGGAUACUUCAUCAGGAGCAGUUCAUUGUAGAAAGGCAAUUGUGGUUUAACAUUCAAAAUCUUUAUAAUUCAUUAUAUGAAUAAAAAAUAUUAAAAAAUUCAUAACAUUAAUAGAAAAAAGAAAAAAUUAGUAUCUACUCAAUAGUGACAGAAAAAGCAUUUGACAAAAUUCAGUAGUUAUUCAUGAAAAACUCUCAGCAAACUGAAAGUACAAGGAAACUUUCAUAAUCUGAUUAAGAGAAUCUACAAAAACCCAAGAGCAGACAUCAUAUUUAACAACAGGAAUACAAUAUUUAAUAAUGGGAAUACAAUAUGAAUGCCUGUUCUUACUUCUUUUAUUCAAUAUUUAACAAGUAGCUGGCCGGGCAUGGUGGCUCAUGCCUGUAAUCCCAGCAUUUUGGGAGGCCAAGGUGGGCAGAUCAUGAGGUCAAGAGACUGAGACCACCCUGGCCAACAUGGUGAAACCCCGUCUCUACUAAAAGUACAAAAAUUAGCUGGGCGUGAUGGUGCGUGCCUGUAGUCCCAGCUACUCAGGAGGCUGAGGCAGGAGAAUCACUUGAACCCAGGAGGCGGAGGUUGCAGUGAGCCGAGAUCACACCAUUGCACUCAAGCUUGGUGACAGAGCGAGACUCUGUCUCAAAAAAAAAAAAAAAAAAAAAAAAUGUAGCCAAUGCAACAAGGUAAGAAAAAAUAAAAGCCAAAACCUGGAAAAAACAAACAAACAAAUAAAAGAAAAGCUAUAUAUUAGGAGGUUGGGGGGAAUAAAACUGCCCUUAUUCACAAAUAGUAAAAUUAUAUUCACAAACUAUUAGAAUAGCAAGGUCACUGGAAACAAGGUCAAUAUCCAAAAAUUAUAUUGCUAUAUAUUAACAUCAAGAAGAAAAUUAAAUUUAAAAAGCAGAGCUUCUCUGCCUAUGGGGUAGCCAUUUCUUAUUCCUUUACUUUCCUAAUAAACUUGCUUUUACUUUAAGGAUUUGCCUUGAAUUCUUUCUUGCAUGAGAUCCAAGAUCCCUCUCUUGGGGUCUGGAUCAGGACGCUUUCCAAUAACAUCUUCUUGGCAAACCAUGAAGGGAUGAUACUGAGGAGACCCCUGACCCAAAGGAAAUAGACUGCAGCACCAAUUGGCCAACUUUGGGACACAAUUGGAAAAACUGGUUAUUUUACCAAGGCAUUGACUGGAAUGGUGUGCUUUCCUUUAAGGAAUCAAAUUUGACUUAGAGAGCCAAUAAAGGCCCAUUGGGAAAACUGGCCUCAUACCUUGUCUACACAAUCCCUGUACAGGUUUCUUGACCUGUGGUAAGUAAAUAAUGUCAUUUUCUAACAGGCCCAGGAGCCCCAAGUUAUCUUGGGACCUCAAGAAGAGAGGAAUUUACUCAAGUUAUAGGUAUCGGAGGGUACAAACCCAUGGCUGGGCUCGGCUUUAAAAAAGUCUCAUCUGAGAUUCCUUAUGGAACAGUGUUCUAUCAAAGCCAAUUUAAAAAGAGCUUAUGUUUAAAAAAAUUAUUCUUGCUGCACUUUCUACAAAUAAUUAGGCUAAAUGUAAGACUAAAGCUUAUUUUUGCAAACAAAUCAGUUCUAUUAUGAUUUGUCUUUAGUAAAAAUGUGAUACUGGAGAGAGAAGAAAAUUAUGUUUCAAGCACUAUGAUACACCUGUUAUUGGAUUCUAGUCUCAUCAGUUGUUUUUGAGUUUUUUUCUGCAAUUUAGACUGACUCUGGUUAUUCCUGUGAACCCAUCAGUGGUCUCUGGCUGUUGCUCAAAAGAAACAAGACGGACAGGUAUCACCUUUUGUCAGAACUCAAGAGUUAUGAAUGGUCCUCACCAUACUGUUGCCUUCUGACUGAGCUCCUCUCUACCCGAAUACAAGAGACCCUAACAGUUAGGCAGGAAUAUCAUCACCCCUAUUCAGCCUGAAGAAGUUACAGAAGAUGAAUUUUCGUCCCUCUACAACCCUUAGGAUUAAGGGUUCCCUUGUAAAAGGGGGCGGGGGGGUGAAUAUGUCAGAGGUAUUUGAGCCAGAGCAACUCCGUCUUGAACAGCGGAUGGGUGAAAUAAGGCUGAGACCUUCUGGGCUGUACUCCCAGGAGGUUAAGGCAUUCUUAGUCAAUGGAUGAGAUAGGAGGUCAACAAAAGGUACAGGUCACAAAGACCUUGCUGAUAAAACAGCCUGCAGUAAAGAAGCCGGCCAAAACCCACCAAAACCAAGAUGGUGACAAAAGUGACCUCUGGUCAUCCUCACUGCUCAUUAUAUGCUAAUUAUAAUUUAUUAGCAUGCUAAAAGACACUCCCACCAGCACCAUGACAAUUUACAAAUGCCAUGGUAAUGUCAGGAAGUUACCUUAUAUGGUCUAAAAGGGGAGAAAACCUCAGUUCCAGGAAUUGCCCACCUCUUUCCUAGAAAACUCAUGAAUAAUUCACCCCUUGUUUAGCAUAUGAUCAAGGAAUAACUACAAGUAACCUUGGUUGAACAGCCCAUGCCACUGCUCUGCUUAUGGAGUAGCCAUUCUUUAUUCCUUAACUUUACUAGUAAACUUGCUUUCACUUAAAAAACAAACAAACAAAACCCAGUAACAUUCAGAAUAUCAUUUAAGAAUAUAAAAUAAAGCUGAGCACUGUGACACACAA